AGAGUUUGAUCCUGGCUCAGAACGAACGCUGGCGGCAGGCUUAACACAUGCAAGUCGAACGCUCGUAGCAAUACGGGAGUGGCAGACGGGUGAGUAACGCGUGGGAACAUACCCUCCGGUUCGGAAUAGCUCAGGGAAACUUGGAUUAAUACCGGAUACGGCUGAGAGGCGAAAGAUUUAUCGCCGGAGGAUUGGCCCGCGUUCGAUUAGCUUGUUGGUGAGGUAACGGCUCACCAAGGCGAUGAUCGAUAGCUGGUCUGAGAGGAUGAUCAGCCACAUUGGGACUGAGACACGGCCCAAACUCCUACGGGAGGCAGCAGUGGGGAAUAUUGGACAAUGGGCGCAAGCCUGAUCCAGCCAUGCCGCGUGAGUGAUGACGGCCUUAGGGUUGUAAAGCUCUUUCGCUCGGGACGAUAAUGACGGUACCGAGAUAAGAAGCCCCGGCUAACUUCGUGCCAGCAGCCGCGGUAAUACGAAGGGGGCUAGCGUUGUUCGGAAUUACUGGGCGUAAAGCGCGUGUAGGCGGGUCUUUAAGUCAGAGGUGAAAUGCCAAGGCUCAACCUUGGAACUGCCUUUGAUACUGGAGAUCUUGAGUCCGGGAGAGGUGAGUGGAAUUGCGAGUGUAGAGGUGAAAUUCGUAGAUAUUCGCAAGAACACCAGUGGCGAAGGCGGCUCACUGGCCCGGAACUGACGCUGAGACGCGAAAGCGUGGGGAGCAAACAGGAUUAGAUACCCUGGUAGUCCACGCCGUAAACGAUGGACGCUAGCCGUUGGCAAGCUUGCUUGUCAGUGGCGCAGCUAACGCAUUAAGCGUCCCGCCUGGGGAGUACGGCCGCAAGGUUGAAACUUAAAGGAAUUGACGG
rnacentral:rRNA from 2 species